UACGUAGGGGGCAAGCGUUGCUCGGAAUCACUGGGCGUAAAGCGCACGUAGGCGGCUUCUUAAGUCAGGGGUGAAAUCCUGGAGCUCAACUCCAGAACUGCCCUUGAUACUGAGGAGCUCGAGUCCGGAAGAGGUGAGUGGAACUGCGAGUGUAGAGGUGAAAUUCGUAGAUAUUCGCAAGAACACCAGUGGCGAAGGCGGCUCACUGGACCGUUACUGACGCUGAGGUGCGAAAGCUAGGGGAGCAAACGGG
rnacentral:rRNA from 1 species